rnacentral:lncRNA from 1 species
UCAAAUGUUGAUGUUGGAAAAUGGAUUCAACUUAGAAGUGAUCUUGCCUUCGGUUGAUUGCGUCCUGCAGCAGAUGUAGAAUGUAGAAUGAAAGACCUUAGGCACCGGUUUGGUAUUGGUCGAAGGCUCUCGAAUGCUUAAGUUAUCUUAAGGACGGAGUGUGUGACGUAAUUGGAUAGAGUAAGGGUACUAGAGCCGAAUUACUAUUACCCGGUGCUUUGGGACGAGAGCCCUAUUUAUAGAGGAAAGAGGUGGAGCACAUUGGGUCAUUACUUUGAUCGUUGGCGUCACCCGAGGGGCUGCCACAUGUCCCUAAAUGGAAGUGGUAUGGCAGGUACCUUCGUUUGGCCGAAUCUACAUGUGAGAUUUCCAAAGGCUAAUCCCUACUGAUGGUCGUUGUGAACCCUGGUGGCUGGGCUAGGACGUAUAGGCCUUUAAUUUGGAUCAUUUGUCCUAUGUGUCCUAGUUGAGAGGGUCCGGUCAGAUAUGGCAAAACAUGAAAAU